AUACGGAGGGUGCAAGCGUUAAUCGGAAUUACUGGGCGUAAAGCGCGCGUAGGCGGCUUGGUAAGUCGGAUGUGAAAGCCCCGGGCUCAACUUGGGAAUUGCAUUCGAAACUGCCGAGCUAGAGUAUGGGAGAGGGAAGUGGAACUUCCGGUGUAGCGGUGAAAUGCGUAGAUAUCGGAAGGAACACCAGUGGCGAAGGCGACUUCCUGGCCCAAUACUGACGCUCAGGUGCGAAAGCGUGGGGAGCAAACAGGAUUAGAAACCCCGGUAGUCC
rnacentral:rRNA from 1 species